rnacentral:lncRNA from 1 species
UUAACGUGAUAUCGGUUGCCAGAGCACACGGAAGGAUGAGUGGUGUUGAGCGGCUAUCAGAGCAGAACUCCAGCCCACUCAUGCCUGAAAGAAAAAGCAGAAGACCUGCAAAGGCCAUCCAUGUCUCUCACAGAGGACCAAACAGGCCAGCGUCCCUCCAGUUAUCUCAAGGCCAAGACAUACCUGUUUAGGAAGCAACUUCGGUAUCAGUCAAUACAUUUACUUGAACAAAAAUAUGUUCAGAUGUCACUUGAAUUGUACUCGUAAACACAAAUCAAUGGGAUAGUUCACUUUUCACCAUUCACUUUUUUUUCAAACCUGUUUGAAUUUCUUUCUUCCGAUGAACACAAAGGAACAUAGUUUGACAAAUGAUGGAAACCGGUAGCCAUUGACAUGGAAAGUAGAUCAAUGGCUACAGGUUUUCAACAUCGUUCAAAAUAUCUUCUUUUGUGUUCAACAGAAGAAAAAACUCAAGCUGGGUGAGAAAACUGUGACAGAAUGGUAAUUUUUGGGCGAUCUAUACUUUUAAGAUGUGAAAUUUUCCUAUUUCACUUUUUAUAUUUGUCGAAGUGCAGUGCACAUCUAAACUACUACGGUCAUGUUGGACUUUCACUGCACUUUGCAACAGGAAACACAAUCACUUGUGGUGAACACUUGUGGUUUGAUUGCAGAAAAAGGCAAGACAUUAAGCAAGAAAAUGAUGCACCAUCAUCUUAGCUUCCACAUAAAACUUGGCAAAAAUAUAACUGUACUUGAAGCUUUCAUUAAAAUGUUGUUGUUUUUUUAAACAAAA